rnacentral:lncRNA from 10 species
AAAGUGUUGAGAUUACAGGCAUGAGGCACCAUCCCCUGGCCCAUGCUCUUGUCUAUUUGAUGUCAGUUUUAUAACUUUUGUCUCUUCACACCUCUAACACAUUCUAUUCUAUCCUCACUCUCAGUUGACAACCUUGCUGCUAAGUCACUGAGAAGAUAAUGGCUCUCACGAGCCCCCACCACAUUUACCCACCAGCCAACAUCUGUCUUCAUGCAUUGUCCUCCCCCUCCUCUCCUGCUAACUAGAGAGGAACUCUCCUUGCUCCUAUAGAAAGCCAGCUCCUCUGUUUUCUUGCUCAUGCCACACCAGCAAUUCUGCCCUCUCCUGCAUCAUCAAGUUCUCUCUGUUGGAGUAUCCCCAUCAACAUGAAUGCUGUAAUGUACCCCGUAUGUAUAAGCAGACUAAGGACCCCCAAAAGAUAUCCCUGUCCUAAUUCCCAGAACCUGUGAUUGUGUUAGGUUACACAGCAGAGGAGAAUCAAGGGAGAAGAUGGAAUGAGGUUAAUAAUGAGCUGAUCUUAAAAUACAGAGAUUAUCCUGUACUAUCUGGGUAUACCCAGCGUUGCCACAAGAGGUCUUGGAAGAAGAGGGAGGCAGAAGAAGACUGUUAGAGAAAGAUGUGACUGUGGAAGAAGGGUCAAAGAGAUACAAUGUUGCUGGCCUUAAAGAUGGAAGAAGGGGUCAGGAGCCAGGGAAUGCAGGAAGCCUCUAGAAGCUGAAACAGGCUAGGAAACUGAUUCUCCCCUAGAGCCUCAGGAAAGGAACACAGUCUCCCUGACAGCUUAAUUUUAGCCUGGUGAGAUCCACAUUGGACUUCCAACCUACAAGAUUGUAAGAUGACUAAGUUGUGUUGUUUUAAGCCACUAAAUUUGUGGUAAUUUGUUACAGCAGCAAUAAAAAACUAAUGUACCGUAUCA